ensembl:lncRNA
UUUUAAAGAGAAGAAUAUAUGCAGAGUUCAAACCUUUUAUGUUCAUGAACUGAUAUGUACUACACUUUCACAGAUUUUUUUUUUUUUUUCAUUUCAAGAAAGCAUUGUAUGUUUAUCUAGUCUCCUGGAAUACAGAGAAAGGACAUAUGCUUAUCUGUUCAUCUGGAUUCCCAGGACCAAAAGACCAACAGCCUGCACAGAGACAUCCUGCUACAGAUCAGUGACUGUACUCUGCAGUCAGGUUAAUGAAGAAUGAGCUGGCUGAAAGAUGAACAUGAUUAUGUGUAAGACAACAGAUCUUAUGGAAGCAGAAGACUGUAUGGGGGACCUACACAGUGACCAACAGCAGACUAGCAGCAGAACACUGAACAAAAGGAAAACCAGACUUGUCUGUUACAUAUGUUUUCUCACAAGAAAGAGCACACACGGGGAUUCAGUCCCCAUGUGACUUCAGGAGAAGGCAGAGGAGUUACAAAGAAGGGAUUAACUGGCAAUACAUUUGCAAUUAAGUGCUCUGCCAUCCUUGCUCUCUUUUCAGCAGCUUUACAUUUCCUUCUGUUGACGUUAUACCCCCAAGCUACCCAAAGCAGGUGGGGUGGUCGGGAACGAAGAGUCUCAUAAGCAAAUGCUAAAGAGCUCCUAAUUCAAGAUGGACACUAAAACUGCUGAAAAUUUUGUAACAAAUUGUCAACUUUUUGUCCCCCUUCCAAAAGCUCCCAGAGACUCUUGCUCUUGGUGUUGGGAUCUCCUUUCUAACACAGAUAUUGUUUAAAUACGCAAUGUUAUUUUACUUUAGUUCUCAAAUGAGUCUUUAUUUCAUCCAGAUGUUACUGCUCAUAUCCCUGUCUUCGUUUAGAGCAACACUUUGUAGAAUACCUAAUCUUUAAGUCACUUUUACUUUAAUUCACCACUAUAUUUUUAAACGACUGUGUUUGACAUAAACCACUAGCUGGUUUCACAACUGCAGCGUCUCCACCUUUGGCAAACUCUUCACUUAUUUAUUCCCUCCUCUUUUAAUGGAGUUGCUGGAACCACUUAAAAUCCAUUAAUACACUACAAAUUUCAAGCACAAAUCAUAUUUGUGUGAACUAGUGCAGUUGGAAAUGCUGAAUAACUUCUACUUCAUAUGAAAUCAAGUCCAUUGUAAAUGUGUAAUUGCGAUCCUCAAACAGCUUAAAGAUUUUCUGCAAAUACUAUGUGAAGAGUCUCUUCCUGUGAAAGAAGUGGCACUUAGCACCAAGGUAUUUUCAUCCUGUCAACACUGGCCCUGUGGUUAGCUGCUGAAGGGUUGGAGGAGAGUCUCCUCUAAAGAAAAAAAUAAACAAAGAAAAACCAUGUAUGUCACCACAGCAGAAGAUACUGCAUUUGGAUGUGUGAGCGAGCGGUGGAUCCUUUGGGAAGUGCCAGCAGGGCCUGGUGAUGGCCAUGCCUCCAGAAAGCUGCUGUGGAGAGUCAAAACAAUUAAAAAGUACUUCACCCCCAUGCUCCCUGCAGGAAUUCAGAUGCUCAAGUCACUCUGUCCUUUCUGGAACACAUUAGUUUCACAACAGGUGAUGACAGCAGCCUGAGAGACAGCAAUAGG